AAGGCUAGAGCAGAGGGUCCAGUACUAAACGAAAAAACCGCAAUAGAAGUCCCAGAUGCAUGGACAUAUCUGGCAACAAGGAAAGAGGCAAAACGAAGCAGAAAUCUACAUGUUUAAUUUGCAAUUUACUUUUUGGGUUUAAUUUGAUUUGUUUAAUUUAUAAUUUAGUUUGUUUAUUUUACAAUUUAACUUUUUACUUUAUAAUCGUGUGUAAUCUUUGCAACGCUUUAUUUAAUCUCUGGCAAAAAUUUAAUAUACUGUUAUAUGCUUAGUAGUAUUUAUUAUUGUAACCAUAGAAACCGCUAGUUUAUUUUUGUACUUUAUUUAGAAUUAUGUUCAAAAAAUGUUCCAAGUUCUUAUAUUGUUGACCGUUAUUCCCUGAGGAUGACAAAGUUGUAAUUUGUCGAAAAUGUUAGGAAUAAAGAGUGUAAU
rnacentral:lncRNA from 1 species